UUUCUCGGUAACAUUUUUUUUUAUUGCAGUUAUAUACAUCUUUCUUUAUAUGUGCAUUCAGAUUUAAGAAUAGGUUUAUACAAAUAUCAUAAACAAUAAUUUAACGUCAGAAAUUAGUUAAUUUAUAAAAAAAAAAUAUACGUAUGAAAUAAAAAAUACAAAAACACUUAAGAUAACACUUAAUGGUAUAAUAUCGACCGUAUUCAGAUGAUAUAUCAUCUUAAAGCAUAUAACUUUUCGAACAUUGAGAUGAAGCGUCAAA
rnacentral:misc_RNA from 1 species